UACAGAGGUCCCAAGCGUUGUUCGGAUUCAUUGGGCGUAAAGGGUGCGUAGGUGGUGAUGCAAGUCUGGUGUGAAAUCUCGGAGCUCAACUCCGAAAUUGCACCGGAUACUGCGUGACUCGAGGACUGUAGAGGAGAUCGGAAUUCACGGUGUAGCAGUGAAAUGCGUAGAUAUCGUGAGGAAGACCAGUUGCGAAGGCGGAUCUCUGGGCAGUUCCUGACACUGAGGCACGAAGGCCAGGGGAGCAAACGGG
rnacentral:rRNA from 1 species